rnacentral:lncRNA from 13 species
UGGGUUGAUUAUUUCUUUUUUGGCUUUUAGCUAGUCCCAUGGAUAACACUGUUAAGGACCCAUUCAUCAGCAAUGUCAAAAGACCUGGAGGAAAAUGCAUUAGUUCUCUUCAACUUCAUUUGUUUCUGUACAAGCUUCACAGUUUCUAACCAGGGAUCACAGCAUAUGGACAUGCAUCAGUGA